rnacentral:rRNA from 1 species
UGGCAGGUCAGCAUACUGCCGUGAAUACGUUCCCGGGCCUUGUACACACCGCCCGUCACACCAUGAGAGUUGGAAAUACCCGAAGCCUGUGAGCUAACAGUAAUGAGGCAGCAGUCGAAGGUAGAGCCAAUGAUUGGGGUGAAGUCGUAACAAGGUACC